rnacentral:miRNA from 1 species
UAUCCAUCAGUUUGUAGGUAAAAU